rnacentral:rRNA from 1 species
CCUACGGGUGGCAGCAGUGGGGAAUAUUGCACAAUGGGGGGAACCCUGAUGCAGCGACGCCGCGUGAAGGAAGAAGUAUUUCGGUAUGUAAACUUCUAUCAGCAGGGAAGAAAAUGACGGUACCUGACUAAGAAGCCCCGGCUAACUACGUGCCAGCAGCCGCGGUAUACGUAGGGGGCAAGCGUUAUCCGGAUUUACUGGGUGUAAAGGGAGCGUAGGCGGGAAAGCAAGUCAGAUGUGAAAACCAUGGGCUCAACCUGUGGCCUGCAUUUGAAACUGUUUUUCUUGAGUACUGGAGAGGCAGACGGAAUUCCUAGUGUAGCGGUGAAAUGCGUAGAUAUUAGGAGGAACACCAGUGGCGAAGGCGGUCUGCUGGACAGCAACUGACGCUGAGGCGCGAAAGCGUGGGGAGCAAACAGGAUUAGAUACCCGUGUAGUC